rnacentral:ncRNA from 1 species
AAUAACAAGCAGGAAAAAGGUUUCGAAAAUUUCGAAUUAAAAGGGAAAUCGGUGCAAAUCCGAUGCUGUUUCCGCAACUGUAACGUGCUGAUGAAAUGAGAACGAUGCCACUGUCGAUAUCGAUGGGAAGGCUCUCAAAGUAAAUUGACGCAUAAAGCCAGGAGACCUACCUUUUUCUGAUCGUAUUA